UUUGGGGUUCUCCUUUUUAUGCGUUGUACACAUAUGGGGCAUACACUUGAAGGAGCCUGUAUUUGUUGCAAGUUUCAAGCCAACUUCAAUUGCCAUUGCAGUUGUUAUGAGUGCCAUAUUCCUUGGCGAAGCAAUAUUUCUUGGAAGUGUGAUUGGAAGCCUAAUUUUACGUACGGGACUGUAUUGCGUAUUAUGGGGAACAGCAAAAGAAGAAGAAGAAAUGAGAGAAGAUGAUUGUGGCUUAAGCACCACCAUUAGUGGAAGGGUCCCUUUAUUGCAAAGCCAACAAAGUUGAACAACUGGCUUACCUUUCUUGAAUGUUUUUCCACUCUCCUUGGCAUCCUAAAAACAAUCAUUACUCAAUGCCUAUCCAUUCGGUCCAAUUGGAUCGAAUUUACUCAGUUUCGAUUAAGUUUAUUUGAUAACUCAAUAUUUUACUCGCCUUUCUUCA